UCGGCCCGUGGCCAGCCCUAGACUACUUUGGUGUUUGGUGAAGUCCUAACAGCCUGCUUCUGCAGGAAGUCUUUUUGAAGGCAAAAUUAGAAGCAGCUUUCAGAAGCAGAAGCCGCGCGCUACUGUAGCGAAGGUUUAAUGAAUUUUUGGAAAUACCAAUGAGUACCCUCAUGAACUUCAAGGAAUUACACGACCCAGCCUCAUCUCUUCCUCAACUCUCUCUCUCUCUCUCUCUCUCGAUGCUCUUAGGACGACGUCGUGCCUCCAGCGGCGCCUCCACCUUUGCUCUCCCCGGUGGCCACGUCGAGUUCGGCUGCUUGGAUUAAAGCUCACCAAGAGGAAAAGAGAUAAGCUGUGGGAUUCUCAAGUUAAAUGAGGGAAGAUAUGAAGGAGAUAAAGUGAUAAGAAAGUUUCUGCAAUUGAUCAACCUAAUGAUCAAUGUGAAUUUUUUUGUGUUUCUUUUGUAUUGUUACAGGAGAAUACUUUGUGUAUAAAAGUCAAUUCAGUUGAUUGGAUUGGAUUCCUGAAUUUAAAGCCAUCAUAGUCAAACUGAUUGACAGAUUUUCUUCCUAUUGAAAUAUUUUUCGUAGUCCAUAA